GAUGAACGCUAGCGGCAGGCUUAACACAUGCAAGUCGAGGGGUAUAGUUCUUCGGAACUAGAGACCGGCGCACGGGUGCGUAACGCGUAUGCAAUCUACCUUUUGCAGAGGGAUAGCCCAGAGAAAUUUGGAUUAAUACCUCAUAGUAUAGCAGUUUCGCAUGAAACCACUAUUAAAGUCACAACGGCAAAAGAUGAGCAUGCGUCCCAUUAGCUAGUUGGUAAGGUAACGGCUUACCAAGGCUACGAUGGGUAGGGUCCUGAGAGGGAGAUCCCCCANACUGGUACUGAGACACGGACCAGACUCCUACGGGAGGCAGCAGUGAGGAAUAUUGGACAAUGGGCGCAAGCCUGAUCCAGCCAUGCCGCGUGCAGGAUGACGGUCCUAUGGAUUGUAAACUGCUUUANACAGGAAGAAACACUCCGACGUGUCGGA
rnacentral:rRNA from 1 species